AACGAACGCUGGCGGCAGGCUUAACACAUGCAAGUCGAGCGCCCCGCAAGGGGAGCGACAGACGGGUGAGUAACGCGUGGGAAUCUACCCAUCUCUACGGAAUAACGCAUGGAAACGUGUGCUAAUACCGUAUACGUCCUUCGGGAGAAAGAUUUAUCGGAGAUGGAUGCGCCCGCGUUGGAUUAGCUAGUUGGUGGGGUAAAGGCCUACCAAGGCGACGAUCCAUAGCUGGUCUGAGAGGAUGAUCAGCCACACUGGGACUGAGACACGGCCCAGACUCCUACGGGAGGCAGCAGUGGGGAAUAUUGGACAAUGGGCGCAAGCCUGAUCCAGCCAUGCCGCGUGAGUGAUGAAGGCCCUAGGGUUGUAAAGCUCUUUCACCGGUGAAGAUAAUGACGGUAACCGGAGAAGAAGCCCCGGCUAACUUCGUGCCAGCCGCCGCAGUAACAC
rnacentral:rRNA from 1 species